rnacentral:rRNA from 1 species
CACAUGCAGCCGAGCGGUAGGAUCUCUUCGGAGAUCUGAGAGCGGCGCACGGGUGCGGAACACGUGUGCAACCUGCCUUUAUCAGGGGGAUAGCCUUUCGAAAGGAAGAUUAAUACCCCAUAAUAUAUUUGAUGGCAUCAUUGAAUAUUGAAAACUACGGUGGAUAGAGAUGGGCACGCGCAAGAUUAGAUAGUUGGUGAGGUAACGGCUCACCAAGUCUACGAUCUUUAGGGGGCCUGAGAGGGUGAUCCCCCACACUGGUACUGAGACACGGACCAGACUCCUACGGGAGGCAGCAGUGAGGAAUAUUGGACAAUGGGUGAGAGCCUGAUCCAGCCAUCCCGCGUGAAGGACGACGGCCCUAUGGGUUGUAAACUUCUUUUGUAUAGGGAUAAACCUAGAUACGUGUAUCUAGCUGAAGGUACUAUACGAAUAAGCACCGGCUAACUCCGUGCCAGCAGCCGCGGUAAUACGGAGGGUGCAAGCGUUAUCCGGAUUUAUUGGGUUUAAAGGGUCCGUAGGCUGAUUUGUAAGUCAGUGGUGAAAUCUCACAGCUCAACUGUGAAACUGCCAUUGAUACUGCAAGUCUUGAGUGUUGUUGAAGUAGCUGGAAUAAGUAGUGUAGCGGUGAAAUGCAUAGAUAUUACUUAGAACACCAAUUGCGAAGGCAGGUUACUAAGCAACAACUGACGCUGAUGGACGAAAGCGUGGGGAGCGAACAGGAUUAGAUACCCUGGUAGUCCACGCCGUAAACGAUGCUAACUCGUUUUUGGGUUUUCGGAUUCAGAGACUAAGCGAAAGUGAUAAGUUAGCCACCUGGGGAGUACGUUCGCAAGAAUGAAACUCAAAGAA